GGUAGUCCACGCCGUAAACGAUGUCGACUUGGAGGUUGUGCCCUUGAGGCGUGGCUUCCGGAGCUAACGCGUUAAGUCGACCGCCUGGGGAGUACGGCCGCAAGGUUAAAACUCAAAUGAAUUGACGGGGGCCCGCACAAGCGGUGGAGCAUGUGGUUUAAUUCGAUGCAACGCGAAGAACCUUACCUACUCUUGACAUCCAGAGAACUUAGCAGAGAUGCUUUGGUGCCUUCGGGAACUCUGAGACAGGUGCUGCAUGGCUGUCGUCAGCUCGUGUUGUGAAAUGUUGGGUUAAGUCCCGCAACGAGCGCAACCCUUAUCCUUUGUUGCCAGCGGUUAGGCCGGGAACUCAAAGGAGACUGCCAGUGAUAAACUGGAGGAAGGUGGGGAUGACGUCAAGUCAUCAUGGCCCUUACGAGUAGGGCUACACACGUGCUACAAUGGCUCAUACAAAGAGAAGCGACCUCGCGAGAGCAAGCGGACCUCAUAAAGUGCGUCGUAGUCCGGAUUGGAGUCUGCAACUCGACUCCAUGAAGUCGGAAUCGCUAGUAAUCGUAGAUCAGAAUGCUACGGUGAAUACGUUCCCGGGCCUUGUACACACCGCCCGUCACACCAUGGGAGUGGGUUGCAAAAGAAGUAGGUAGCUUAACCUUCGGGAGGGCGCUUACCACUUUGUGAUUCAUGACUGGGGUGAAGUCGUAACAAGGUAACCGUAGGGGGACCUGC
rnacentral:rRNA from 1 species